UACGAAGGGAGCUAGCGUUGUUCGGAAUCACUGGGCGUAAAGCGCACGUAGGCGGAUAGUUAAGUCAGGGGUGAAAUCCUGGGGCUCAACCCCAGAACUGCCUUUGAUACUGGCUGUCUCGAGGUCGAGAGAGGUUGGUGGAAUUCCUAGUGUAGAGGUGAAAUUCGUAGAUAUUAGGAAGAACACCAGUGGCGAAGGCGGCCAACUGGCUCGAUACUGACGCUGAGGUGCGAAAGCGUGGGGAGCAAACAGG
rnacentral:rRNA from 1 species